AUUCUGGACAAUGGGGGCAACCCUGAUCCAGCCAUCCCGCGUGUGCGACGAAGGCAUUCGGAUUGUAAAGCACUUUUGGCAGGGAAGAAAAGGCGCGGGAUAAUACCCUGUGCAGCUGACGGUACCUGCAGAAUAAGCACCGGCUAACUACGUGCCGGCAGACGCGGUAAUACGUAGGGUGCAAGCGUUAAUCGGAAUUACUGGGCGUAAAGCGUGCGUCGGCGGUUUGGCAAGAAAGGUGUGAAAUCCCAGGGCUUAACCUUGGAACUGCACUUUUAACUGCCAGGCUAGAGUAUGUCAGAGGGGGGUAGAAUUCCGCGUGUAGCAGUGAAAUGCGUAGAGAUGCGGAGGAAUACCGAUGGCGAAGGCAGCCCCCUGGGAUAAUACUGACGCUCAGGCACGAAAGCGUGGGGAGCAAACA
rnacentral:rRNA from 1 species